AACGCUGGCGGCAUGGCUAAAACAUGCAAGUCGAACGAGAACCCCUUCGGGGGGGACAGUGGCGAAAGGGCGAGUAAUGCGAUCGAACGUACCCCGAGGUGGGGGAUAGCGACGGGAAACUGUCGGUAAGACCCCAUGUGCUCUACGGAGGAAAGGCUUGCCGCCUCGGGAGCGGCGAUCGUCCUAUCAGGUAGUUGGUGAGGUAAUGGCUCACCAAGCCGAAGACGGGUAGCGGGUGUGAGAGCAUGACCCGCCGCAUCGGGACUGAGACACUGCCCGGACUCCUACGGGAGGCUGCAGUAACGAAUCUUCCGCAAUGGGCGAAAGCCUGACGGAGCAAUGCCGCGUGUGGGAUGAAGCGUCUUCGACGUGUAAACCACUGUCAGGACCUAGGAACACUGACCGGGUCCAGAGGAAGGGCCGGCUAUCUCGUGCCAGCAGCCGCGGUAAUACGAGAGGCCCGAGCGUUAAUCGGAAUCAUUGGGCUUAAAGGGUGCGCAGGCGGAUCGGCAGGCGUCCUGUGAAAGCCCCCGGCUCAACCGGGGAAUUGCGGGGCGAACCGCCGAUCUUGAGGCAGGUAGGGGCCAGUGGAACCAUGGGUGGAGCGGUGAAAUGCGUAGAUAUCCAUGGGAACGCCGAUGGCGAAGGCAGCUGGUUGGGCCUGUCCUGACGCUCAGGCACGAAAGCGUGGGGAGCAAACGGGAUUAGAUACCCCGGUAGUCCACGCCGUAAACGAUGUGCACUAGGUCGAGGUGGCUCUCACGCCUUCUCGGCCGAAGUAAAAACGUUAAGUGCACCGC
rnacentral:rRNA from 1 species